UACGUAGGGGGCUAGCGUUGUCCGGAAUCAUUGGGCGUAAAGAGCGUGUAGGCGGCCCGAUAAGUCCGCUGUGAAAGUCCAGGGCUCAACCCCCGAAAGCCGGUGGAUACUGUUGGACUAGAGUACGGAAGAGGCGAGUGGAAUUCCUGGUGUAGCGGUGAAAUGCGCAGAUAUCAGGAGGAACACCAAUUGCGAAGGCAGCUCGCUGGGACGUCACUGACGCUGAGACGCGAAAGCGUGGGGAGCAAACAGG
rnacentral:rRNA from 1 species